UUCCUGGUGGUCUAGUGGUUAAGACUUGGUGCUUUCAUUGCUGUGGCCCACGUUCAAUUCCUGGUCUGGGAA
rnacentral:tRNA from 1 species